rnacentral:rRNA from 1 species
AAUGCUUGGGAACAUGCCUUGAGGUGGGGGACAACAGUUGGAAACGACUGCUAAUACCGCAUAAUGUCUACGGACCAAAGGGGGCUUCGGCUCUCGCCUUUAGAUUGGCCCAAGUGGGAUUAGCUAGUUGGUGAGGUAAUGGCUCACCAAGGCAACGAUCCCUAGCUGGUUUGAGAGGAUGAUCAGCCACACUGGAACUGAGACACGGUCCAGACUCCUACGGGAGGCAGCAGUGGGGAAUAUUGCACAAUGGGCGAAAGCCUGAUGCAGCCAUGCCGCGUGUGUGAAGAAGGCCUUCGGGUUGUAAAGCACUUCCAGUCAGGAGGAAAGGGUGUGAGUUAAUACCUCACAUCUGUGACGUUACUGACAGAAGAAGCACCGGCUAACUCCGUGCCAGCAGCCGCGGUAAUACGGAGGGUGCGAGCGUUAAUCGGAAUUACUGGGCGUAAAGCGUACGCAGGCGGUUUGUUAAGCGAGGUGUGAAAGCCCCGGGCUCAACCUGGGAACUGCAUUUCGAACUGGCAAACUAGAGUGUGAUAGAAGGUGGUAGAAUUUCAGGUGUAGCGGUGAAAUGCGUAGAGAUCUGAAGGAAUACCGAUG